UACAGAGGUCUCAAGCGUUGUUCGGAUUCAUUGGGCGUAAAGGGUGCGUAGGUGGCGCCAUAAGUCGGGUGUGAAAUCUCGGAGCUUAACUCCGAAACUGCAUUCGAUACUGUGGUGCUUGAGGACUGGAGAGGAGACUGGAAUUUACGGUGUAGCGGUGAAAUGCGUAGAGAUCGUAAGGAAGACCAGUGGCGAAGGCGGGUCUCUGGACAGUUCCUGACACUGAGGCACGAAGGCCAGGGGAGCAAACAGG
rnacentral:rRNA from 1 species